rnacentral:rRNA from 1 species
AGCUCCAAUAGCGUAUAUUAAAGUUGUUGCAGUUAAAAAGCUCGUAGUUGAAACUCUUGGUGUGUCGCCGUGCGGGCACGUGUAACGCGUGGUUUCGCUGCGGUGUGCGCGCUGAACAUUUUGCGGGGUGCGGUGGUGGUCUUGAUUGGCUUGCCCCGUCCGUGGCUCUUUGGUGAGUGGUCCCCGCAUCGAUUACUGUGAACAAAUUAGAGUGUUCAAAGCAGGCGUUGAUUGCUUGAAUACAUUAGCAUGGAAUAAUGAUAUAGGACUUUGGUGCUAUUUCGUUGGUUGUGUACCAAGGUAAUGAUUAAUAGGGAUAGUUGGGGGUAUUCAUAUUUGAUUGUCAGAGGUGAAAUUCUUGGAUUUAUUAAAGAUGAACAAGUGCGAAAGCAUUUACCAA